UACGUAGGGGGCGAGCGUUGUCCGGAUUUACUGGGCGUAAAGGGUGAGUAGGCGGUAACGUGUGUCAGAUGUUUAAUCUAUGGGCUCAACCCAUAUCAGCAUUUGAAACUGCGUAACUUGAGUGCAGGAGAGGUAAGUGGAAUUCCUAGUGUAGCGGUGAAAUGCGUAGAUAUUAGGAGGAACACCAGUGGCGAAGGCGACUUACUGGACUGUUACUGACGCUGAGUCACGAAAGCGUGGGGAGCGAACAGGAUUAGAUACCCUGGUAGUCCACGCUGUAAACGAUGAGUGCUAGGUGUUGGCCGAGAGGUCAGUGCCGGAGUAAACGCAAUAAGCACUCCGCCUGGGGAGUACGGUCGCAAGACUGAAGUUGG
rnacentral:rRNA from 1 species